ensembl:lncRNA
CACACAGGUAAAUAAAUGCUGCUCGCGUGACGGCCGCCCCCCGCAGCGCUGCCCCCAUUGAGACCGGUACCUCUGUUCUUUGCAGCCUGGUGUAGCACUCGGUGUAGCAGCCGCGGUCCCACAGCUCCUCCGGGGCCCGAGUCUAGAGCCGGCCCGCCUCGGCCCGGCCGCCGCCCGUCGCUCCCGUCCCCGCGGAACAUCGCUGAGGCGGGCUGAGCGGCGCGGCGGGUUCUUUCUUCCCGCCCUUCCCGGAGCGAGUUCAGCCAAUCGGUGCCAGGAGCUACUCUGGGCCGUCCAAUGGGCGCAGCGGCCCGCCCGAAGGUCCCGCCCCUUGGCCAUCUCCUCAGGAUUGGCCUCGCGCUCUGCCUGCGCUGUGAGGGGCUCCGAGCGGCGGUGCUCCGCUGUCGUGCGCUUUGUUCUGCGACAGACUUUUCCUAUCCCUCCCCAGUGAACCGGUUAUGUGCCUGAGAAGUCCAUGUCAGCACUCUCAAACAGGACUGGCUGUGCACUGCAGAGGAGAUUGCACACCUGAAAAACCUUCUACUGUCCCUACGUUUCGCUGUUCUACAGGCAACUGCCGGGCAUGUGCAUGACUUAUGGAGCUGUUCAGCAAAUGCUGGUAAGAUCUGUACCUGGGGAUUUAUUAUAUAAUGGGCAGGAAAACCAUUACACUAUUUCUUCUGAUUGUGGUACCAAAAUGUUACGGCUAUUUGAAUUGGUGCUAGGGAUUCUAAGUGUAUUUGUUUUCUAGUUGUCUUGGAAAUACUUACUCAUUUUUGAUUAGUUUCCUCCUUUGCCUGUACAUCUUGUUUGACUUCUGAUGGUAUAAUACAAGGUACUGCUAGUGGUAUCAAAGGAAUCAGUUCACCUGGGUGAUAAAUUCUGUGUCAGGAAAAGAGAAUGCAUCUAAGAACUGAGCCUUACAUUUGUAUUUACCUUUAUCACAUUAGCCUAUCCCAGGGUACUUUACAAAAUGUCUUCAGGCAUUGACCAGAAAAUCUUCAUGGAUUCACAAAUUUCUACACGGGCAUUCAUGUUGUAAUUUGGAAGUGCUUAAUUGCUUAUGUACAGAAAAGAACUGUGUACCACAGUGGAGCACAG